AAUUUUCCGCAAUGGGGCGAAAGCCUGACGGAGCAAUACCGCGUGAGGGAGGAAGGCUCUUGAGUGAUAAACCUCUUUUGUUAAGGAAGAAGAAAGGGACGGUACUUAACGAAUAAGCAUCGGCUAACUCCGUGCCAGCAGCCGCGGUAAUACGGAGGAGGCAAGCGUUAUCCGGAAUCAUUGGGGGUAAAGCGUCCGCAGGUGGUUAAUCAAGUAUGCUGAUAAAGACAGAAGCUCAACUUCUGGUCGGCGGUGGAAACUGGUAAACUAGAGUACGGUAGGGGUCGAGGGAAUUCCCAGGGUAGCGGGGAAAUGCGUAGAUAAUAGGAAGAACACCAGUGGCGAAGGCGCUGGCCUGGGCCGUAAGUGACACUCAGGGACGAAAGAUAGGGUAGCGUCGGGGAUGAGAUACCCCUGUAGUCGUACCCGUA
rnacentral:rRNA from 1 species